UUUCUUUCUAAAAUUGCAUUUAAUACUUAUAAUUUCUAUACAAAAACAAUCUAUAAUUUAAAUCACAGUGUUAAUUUUGAUAGCAGCUCAUACAUACAUUGGUAAAUGCUUUCAAAUAACAAUAUAAAAAUGACUUCACCAUAAGGUGGACCUACACAAUUGUGGUCACCAUAAAUGCACGGUAAAAUAGAUAUACAAACAAUAUGAAAAUGUCAAAAUAAACAAGUUUCAGAAUCUCAUGUAAUGCUUAAAGUAAUUGCAUUGUUUCUUUAAUUAGCAAUAAGUUGUGUAUAUUAACACAUCUAAGACACAUUUAAACAAGUUCCAUGUUUCCAUCAUUAUAUCACAAUUUUUGCUAUAUAAAUAAACUGUUACAUUACUUCUAUGUGUGGUUCUAGGAAGGAAUUUACUAUUUUUAGCCAUAAUUAAUUACAUAUUAUUAUUAGUGUUCAUAAUGCACAUGAGAAUAAUUAGCUUAAAAAUUAAUUGUUUAUUACUAAAGAAUACUCUUUCACAACAUUUACAAGAUAUGACAUACCAUAUCCAAUCUUCCAUCACUAGGUUUACAGUUUUUAUAUGAAAUCCUGAAUAAUAUAACUGUAUUGUAUCUUAAUUCUUUCUCUGUCCACAUCUUCAAACAUCAUAACUUUUCACAUAAAAACAAGUGUAAACAAUUUGUGUCAAAGCUUCCUUUCAAAAAUAUGAAAUUUAAUUAAAUAAACAAUGUACAGGAUUUGCCAUCACAAGACAUUAUCAUGUAAAAAAGAAAGAGCAUAAUAAAGUUGGAAACAUAUGUUUAUUAAGGAUGAAUGCUACUCUAA
rnacentral:lncRNA from 1 species